CGUUGGUAUCCUUCAUGCGGUGGAGCCACUGCAGGGGUGCGUGGUCCGAACAGAGAGUGAAUUCCCAUCUCAGGAGAUAGCGGAGAGUGAGUACGGCCCAUCUUAUUGCCAAGCAUUCUUUUUCUAUGGUGCUGUACAUCGUCUCCCACUUCGAGAGCUUCCAACUGAUGUACAGCACCGGUCGUUCCUCACCCUCUAUAUCCUGGGACAGGACUGCUCCAAGCCCUAUGUCCGAUGUGUCUGUCUGCAACAAAAAAGGGAGUGAGGGAGCGGCCAGCCACACAGAGCAGCCUUUUUUUGGGUAAAAGCCUGCUGGCACUGCUUCAUCCACUGGACCGGAUCUGGUGCUUCGUUUUUAGUGAGGUCAUUCAGCGGGCUGGUGAGGUCUGAAUGAUUAGGUACAAACCUUCUAUAAUAUCCCGCCAGCCCCAGGAACUGCCUCACCUCCUUUUUGGUCUUGGGUCUCAGACAGGUUGCAACUGCUGCCGUCUUAUCAAUUUGGGGACGCACUUGUCCAUGACCCAAGUGGAAGCCCAGAUACCUGACUUCCACAAGCCCAACCGCACACUUUUUCGUGUUAGCCGUUAGUCCGGGCCCUCUCAGCGACCUCAGAACAGCCCGCAGAUGCUGCAUAUAAUGCUGCCAGUCAUUACUACAGAUGAUAAUGUCAUCCAAAUAGGCAGCGGCAUACGCAGCGUGCGGUCGGAGUAUCGGGUCCAUGAGCCGCUGAAAGGUGGCCGGAGCCCCGAACAACCGAAAGGAAGUGUAACAAAUUGGUGUUAUCCAAACGGCGUUGUGAAAGCUGUCUUUUCUUUGGAUAUAGGUGAUAAGGGGAUCUGCCAAUAUCCUUUCGUUAAAGAGUAAAAUUGAGCAGAACCCAGCCAAUCAAGCAAUUCGUCAACCUGUGGCAUUGGAUAUGCAUUGUAUUUCGACACAGCAUUCACCUUGAUAAUCCACACAGAACCGGACCGAGCCGUCCGUUUUAGGCACUAAAUCUAUCGGGCUUGCCCAAUCACUGUUGGAUUCCUCUAUUACUCCCAUAUCUAGCAUAACCUCUUACUCCGUCUCAACUACUUUUUUUUGUGUUCAGGCAAACGAUACGGCCGGCUGCGUACUACCAUCCCUGGCUUAGUCUCAAUGUGGUGCUGAAUGAGGUUUGUGUGACCAGAUAGGGGCGAGAACACAUCUGCAAAUUCAGCUUGCAACUUGGCCACAUCAGUGAGCUGGGAGGGCGAGAGGUGAUCUCCUCUUGGGGCCAGAGCGAUAGAUUGAUUUUUGGUGUUCACUUCUGGCCCGAGAUCUUUCUCUUCACUCACCACAAUUGCCAACAUCACUGACUCCGCCUCACUCCAUUUUUUAAGGAGAUUGAGAUGGUAAAUUUGAUGUGCCACACUCCUGUCUGAUCGCACUACCUCAUAAUUGAGAUCUCCAACUCGUCAUGUGACCUCAAAGGGUCCUUGCCACUUGGCAAGUAAUUUGGAACUAGAAGUUGGGAGCAAUACAAGUACUUUCCUCUCCCGGUGAAAAUUCACGUAAUAUGGUUCCCCUGUUAUAUAACCAGCUUUGUCUGUCCUGAGCCUGUAACAAAUUCUCCAUAGAGAGCCGCCCUAAAGUGUGGAGUUUUGUUCUUAGGUCCAGUACAUACUGAAUUUCAUUUUUACUGACCAAUUAUCUAUUAAAAUGGCAAAAUAAGGAUAGGAGAGCGGUCGAGUUGGUUGGAGAAGUUGCCUGUCGAUGGCACGGACCUGUUCAAAGGCAUUUUUGAGCGUUUCAUCCUGAGACUGUUCCAUGGGAAAUCAUCACACUCUGUGAGGUUUCUCCUCUCAUCAGUGCUUCGUUCCCCUGUCUCAGUUCCCAUUGGUCCCGGCUCUUCUUUCCCCCAGGAGACAUCUGCACAUAAAUGCCCCAAUAAUACACUAAAAUCUGGCCAAUUUGUUCCCAAAAUUAGCGGAUGUCUGAGGUGCAAGCUAACUGCAACCUCUACUCUAUGUUUUUGUCCCCGAAAUUGAAUAGCCACCGACAUUAAGGGGUAGUUCACCACAUCCCCGUGCACGCACCGAUGGGUUCCACCCACAUGCCUCAGCUGACCUCUCAAACAGGUCUAUGAAGGCCUCGGGGUCGUCCUGGGCACCCAUCGUAUUGAGAGGCAUGUGGGUGGGCAGGGCUGGGGCAGAUGGACGAGCGAUUGGAUGACGUCUGCAAAUGGUGAUCCUGGCGGGGACUGUAUGACGGCGGCGGCGUUCUUCUUCCUAUCCCGGGUUUCGGCACCAGUGUGAUGUGGUUCAAAGGGUGGAAGGAAGAAGACAGGGUCGGCGUGACUGGAACCCGAGUUUUAUUUAAACAAAAAAAGAAGCGGCGCCCACUGUGCUCUCAAUCACUCAUUAAACAACUCAGAUUAUCAAUCUGCACACAACUCUUGUUGCACCAACAGUCUCCCGUGUGGCUCAAGUUCCCAGUCAGUCUCUCUCUCUUACUUCCCGAUUCCUGGUGGCUUUUAUCCAGUCUCUCCACACCAAUUACUGCAACGAGACAGAGGUGUUUAUCAUUUGCACUUGACCUACUUACUCACCGCUCGUCUCCUGCCUCUCUCUGUGGCUGCAGACCUCGCUGAACUAGGCCCCUUGCCACAAAUGCCAAAUAUACUGACAAAUGUAUUCAUUUUGUAAUUAUACAUUUGUUAAGUUGUUAUUUAG
ensembl:lncRNA